UACGUAGGGUGCGAGCGUUGUCCGGAAUUAUUGGGCGUAAAGAGCUCGUAGGCGGUUUGUCGCGUCGGCCGUGAAAUCUCCACGCUUAACGUGGAGCGUGCGGUCGAUACGGGCAGACUUGAGUUCGGCAGGGGAGACUGGAAUCCUGGUGUAGCGGUGAAAUGCGCAGAUAUCAGGAGGAACACCGGUGGCGAAGGCGACACGCUGGGCCGUACCUGACACUGAUGCGCGACAGCAUGGGGAGCAAACAGG
rnacentral:rRNA from 1 species